UGAAUAAGUCUCACAAGAUCUGACGAUUUUAUAAGGGGUUUCCCCUUUCACUUGGCUCUUAUUCUCUCUUGUCUGCCAUCAUGUAAGACAUGCCUUUCACCUUCUGCUGUGAUUGUGAGGCCUCCCCAGCCACAUGGAACUGUAAGUCUAUUAAAUCUCUUUUUCUUUAUAAACUACCCAGUCUCAGGUAUGUGUCUAUCAACAGCGGGAGAACAGACUAAUACAUUGCCCCUUCUCUUUUCUCUUCUCAUGGCUGCUGUGUAGUUCAGGCUCUCACCAUCAGCUUCCUUCCUCUUACAAACCCCACACUCCACCCACUCUAUCCUGUCUUCUACAGUGCAAUCAAAGGUUUAAAAAUUAAAAUAUGAACAUGCUCCUUCUACAGCUACAGACCUCCCAUAGCUCCUCACUAUGUAGAAUAAAAUGCAAACUCUUUAGUAUCCUGUUGAAAGCCCUCUGCAGUGUAACCCCAAUGCCCUGCCAACAUCUGUUCUCAGUCACUCUUACCUAGUACCCUACAUUCCAGCCCCACAGAACCCACUCCUCUCCUUCCAUGUCAGGUCCCUUUUUGACUCUGUGACAUUGAAUUUUGUGUUCCCACCUCCUGGAAUGAUCUUCCUUAUAUUCUCUGCCUGGAGAAAACUAACCUCUGGUAUUUUUUUACUUUAUCAACCAUUCCCUGCUAUAUUCCUGUAUUCUCAUAGGACUUACCAUCUCUGUUUUGCAAUUAUUUGUAUGUCAGGCUCUUUAUUGAUACUGUGAGCUUCUGCAGGGCAGGACUGUGUGCUAUGAACUUGCCUCUGUAUCUUCAGUACCUACCUCCAGACAUUCCCACAGUGGGUACCUACUAGACGCAUAAAUGAAUAAAUUUCUUGGUCUACUAGCUGGGACCCUGGGUCUCUACUUUCCUGCCCCAGAGCUUAUAACUCAGCUGUAAGAGCUUCCCUAAGUUAAUGUCAAUUGCCUCUGAUAUCUAGGAGUUUGUUAGUGGACCUCUGCUGCAGACAAUUCUUACUACAGAAACUUGGAAGGGAUUCUUGGGAAUUCAGGUACAAACCCAGCCAGCAACAUCUCUGUUUUCAUCUAUUUCUUGUUCCAAUUUUGGUACUGAACGAGUGAGCCUGAGAAGAAGAGGAUAACCCAGUGGGUGUUACCUGUGGGUCUGGAUGUCGGCUAACAAUGAUGGGGACUGGACCGGGAUCACAGUGACUCAGGAUCGUGUAGACUUCAUUGAGCGUCAGGCAGUGCACAGGGGAAUCACUGAUUUCCACAAUCUCGUCCCCACACCUGUGCAAGCAUCAAUAAGAAGCCAUCAGCCAUGGUUGUAUAGCACCAGAUGCUAAGGAAAGCAGAAGCUUCCAGAACAAUCCCUACUCCACUGCAGAUCUAAGAAGGAGGUACUCUCUGUCCGAGGGUACUAGGACCAAGACAACCACAUGGAACCUGCAGUAUGUGCCACAAACCAGCAGAGCAGCUCAGCAAAUCACCUGCCACCCUCCCGCAGAUAACAGCAAAUCCCUUUCUAAUUCAGAAGCUCCAGAGAGACAGCAUCAUAAGCAGGGAUGGCUUUUCCAUACACUGCAAUUGUAGGAAACCCUUUAAAAGGAUGGCAAAACUCUCCUGAUUUAGGAAAACCCAAAACCAGUGAGAGAUGAUAUAUUUG
rnacentral:lncRNA from 1 species